AACGAACGCUGGCGGCAUGCCUAACACAUGCAAGUCGAACGAGACCUUCAGGUCUAGUGGCGCUCGGGUGCGUAACGCGUGGGAAUCUGCCCUUGGGUUCGGAAUAACAGUGAGAAAUUACUGCUAAUACCGGAUGAUGACGAAAGUCCAAAGAUUUAUCGCCCAAGGAUGUGCCCGCGUAGGAUUAGCUAGUUGGUAAG
rnacentral:rRNA from 1 species